AUCUUUUAAUCUCCGACCUUGUGUGAUGAUGCUUAUGGAGUACUACCACAAAUGUAACUGGUACUGGUCCACAAAAAAUCAGUCAUCAAUCACAUUUGUGGUAGACCAGAAAUGUCAGCAUAUUUUAGGUGUUAUCAUGUUUUCUCCAUUAUUCCUCUACACCCAAUCCUCUAGACCAAAAGACAUCUGAUACUUGAUCAGCCAUCAGCGAAGCUUGUUCGAACAAAGGUGAAGGUAACUUGCGAUUCUACUAUAUAUAUCCAUAAGUGGAGCUUCUUCAAACAAAUAUGAAGGCAUAUUACUAUUUUGCUAAGCAUUGUUCAGCAAUUUUGACCUCCUCUUUAUUGAUGUACUAUGGUGAUUCUUUAUUUGUAAAUAAGUAACAUUUAAGGAGAUUAGUAUGAUUUAGAUCAAGUGAGAAAACAAAGAACUAUAAUUAAACCGUGCUAUAAAUGUAAAUUAAAAAAAGAAGAAAACUUUAUGGAAGCUAAAUAAAAUCAAGUUUAUUAAACUUAAACAUCUAAAAUAACAAGUUUCUAAGUAAGAACAAGUUGAAGCUACUCUAUAUGUUUAGAAUUGUCUACUAAGAUGAGUUGCCU